rnacentral:rRNA from 1 species
CCCUUAGAGUUUGAUCCUGGCUCAGGACGAACGCUAGCGGCGCGCCUAAGGUAUGCAAGUCGAACGGGGGCUUCGGCCCCAGUGGCGAACGGUCGAGUAACACGUAGACAACCUGCCCUCAAGUGGGGGAUAACAGCGGGAAACUGCUGCUAAUACCGCAUGUGGUCCCGGGUGGCAUCGCCUGGGUACUAAAGGUUUACUGCUUGAGGAUGGGUCUGCGGCCUAUCAGGUAGUUGGUGGGGUAACGGCCUACCAAGCCGACGACGGGUAGCGGGUCUGAGAGGAUGAUCCGCCGGACGGGGACUGAGACACGGCCCCGACUCCUUCGGGAGGCAGCAAUGAGGAAUAUCGCACAAUGGGCGAAAGCCUGAUGCAGCGACGCCGCGUGGGUGAGGAAGUUCUUCGGAAUGUAAAGCCCUUUUCUCGGGGACGAUCACAGACGGUACCCGAGGAAUAAGCCCCGGCUAACUACGUGCCAGCAGCCGCGGUAAUACGUAGGGGGCAAGCGUUGUCCGGAUUUACUGGGCGUAAAGAGCGCGUAGGCGGACGUUUAAGUGUGGCCUGAAAGCCCCCGGCUCAACCGGGGAUGCGGGUUGCAAACUGGGCGUCUUGAGGGGGAUAGGGGAAGGUGGAAUUCCUGGUGUAGCGGUGAAAUGCGUAGAGAUCAGGAGGA